GAGAACCACUGCUUUAGCACACAGAUCGAGAAUUAAUGCAUUAGAACAAACAUUUUGUAUUCACAGUGAUUCUACAUUGAAUAUUGUUAUUGUAUUUAGCAUGAAUCUACACUGUAUAGUAUUGUUAUUGUAAUCAGGCAGAGGCCUGGUGAGGAAGCCAACCCAGGAGAACUGUGGGCCUAGGAGGAGAGGAGCACCUGGUUCAGGGAACAGAAGGCUUCCUCUUCCAUCCCAGUCACAGGUACAUACAGGAGGUCUUCUUCUAACAUCACAGGAACAUACAGGAGGUCUUCUUCUAACAUCACAGGUACAUACAGGAGGUCUUCUUCUAACAUCACAGGUACAUACAGGAGGUCUUCUUCUAACAUCACAGGUACAUACAGGAGGUCUUCUUCUAACAUCACAGGAACAUACAGGAGGUCUUCUUCUAACAUCACAGGUACAUACAGGAGGUCUUCUUCUAACAUCACAGGUACAUACAGG
ensembl:lncRNA